GGGCAGGGCUUGCUAUCUGUAAACAGCUGUGGCCGGCGCCCGGCAGGCACUGCCUGGCGGUGACCACGCGACUUUUCUUUGGGUUGUUGUGUGUGUAAAAUUCCUCUUCUAUGCCAUCUAAUGACAAUUUUCAGGCUCUCAGUCUUUUUUGCAUAGUUUCAUACUUCUGUCUUGUGGUCUAAUAUACGAGCUAUCCCGCUGAGAGUCAUCAUGUGCGGACUGCAAUUGCCGUAAAAAACAGUUGAGGAAAGCCUUGGAAGUUGAGAUCAUGUGACUUUAAUUGACUAGAUGUGAUGUGACAGACAUUGUGAAUACACCUUGAUUAGAUGGUGCAGUGACAUGAUGGUGCCUUGACAGUCAGCAUGAAUUUGCCUUAUCAGUCUGUACCAAUCUGUUUCGAUGGACAACAAUACCCUGUUGAGUGCACUUCUCCAAAUCUGCUAAAGACAUAACCACAUAAAGUUUUCUUGAUGAAUAAAUCUGCUUGAGUUGUACUUGACAAAUCCCUCAUUUGGAUGAAAUCAUACACAUGACUUGGAUUUAAGAAUGUAAAUCCGAUCAUCACGCGCUCGACUGUGUACAAGAAAAUCGUACAACGAAUGUAAAAAAUGUUCAGUUUCUUGCAGCGUCUCAUGCAAAAAUAUUUUCACGUUUUCCCUUUAUGUAUUUCCAAGCUCUAUAACAUAAUUACUACAAAAGCCCUUUCCCACUUGAGAAGCUUCCAGAACAUUCAAUUUCAUCUAAAUAACCUUCUUAGGACAACUAAUUUUCAGUUGUCAUAUUUAAAGUCAUACGUUCCCAUAUGUAUUCUGUGUCAGACACUGUAUGAUAUGAUAUUGUAAUAAAUCAGGAUCUCUCAGAACUUUUACUUUGUUAAAGAGUAUACAAUACCACUUAAAUAUCAGUGGAAGAAAUUUUGUUUGCAUGGCUGCAUGCCCUAAAUUUAAUGAACCACUUAAAUUCUAUCCAGAUGUGAACUGGUUUUCAAACCAAUAACUGUCAGUGUUCAUAGUUUUCCAGUCGUCAGCCGCAAUUUUUCCGAAAAUAUAAUUUGUUGUUAGUUAUCGACAUUUUCUCGUACUUCAAUCUUACACCAUGAAAGUUAGUUGUGAAAUAAUUAACAGCAAAUGCUCUAAAAACACAACUACAUUAAUUUUCCAAUUUUUACAUUUCAGUUUUAAAUACAUGCAAAUCUUACAUUUCUGUUUGGAGUUGUAUUUAUUUUACUAUUGGUAUGUAGUGGAUAUUACAACCUAACAGGAAAAAAAUGCCUCUGAGCACUAUGGGACUUAACAUCUUAGGUCAUCAGUCCCCUAAAACUUAGAACUACUUAAACCUAACUAACCUAAGGACAUCACACAUAUCCAUGCCCGAGGCAGGAUUCGAACCUGCAACCGUAGCAGUCCCACGGUUCCGGACUGCAGUGCCUAGAACUGCACGGUCACCGCGGCUGGCUCCUAACAGGAAGUUUCACGUUUUAAGAUCUACAAAUUUUGUAACCUUUGUUGUCAACUAUUAUUACUAAAUAUCUUCACAUAAAUAUGAAUGUCCAGGAGACAGUCUACAAACUAAAUCUGAUAUAUAAUCUAAAAAAUGGAGGUUACCUUAAUAUUAUUUUGACUUACAAAGUGUUCAGGAAUGUUUGAGAAACAAUUACAAGUCUUAUAUUACGUUUGUCUGCACCAAUUGCGUCAGACUCAGUCAGAUUGUUUCUCAGGCCAGGAGCAUUCAGCCUCAUUGAGUUCAAGUCAGACUCAUAUAUAUUUUUUUUGAUAUGGUUUGAGUUAACACAUAGAGAAAUUUUGCAAUAUGUGAUAAGCUCUAAGUUCUUUGUUUUUAUAUUUUCCUGCGACAUUGUGAAAAUACACAUGUGAAAUGUUAUGUGCAAUGAUGAAUAAACCACAUUUUGAAACUGAA